UAUAGCUCAAUUCUUUUGAGAGAUUGUUUUCCUUAUAAAUUUAUUGUUGUCUUCUUAUUAUCUGUGAGAUUUCAUUGCUUUCAUAAGAUGAAGGGUAAGACAAAUUUGUUUUAUCUAGCAAAGCUCUUAUACUGACUUCUUCAUUCUUUAUUCUUUACCAUGAAAUUUUGAUCGUGUCUAUGAUUGCAGAAAUAAGUUUGCUUGUGAUUUGGGAUUAUUUGGACUGUUGCAUUCCGUCACAGGAAAUUGUUGUUUUGGAAGAAGGAGCACUUAUUUCUUCAAGUUGACAACUUGUUCAAGUGAAGAAGUUUGUAGAAAAAGAUUUUGGACGAAACGGGAAUUGAAUUUGGAAAGGCGUAAAGAGCAUACAAGGUAUGUAAAGCUAUCCCGAUUCUUCUUUUGGCAUGCCCUAGGUGUACUAGGAUCGGAUUUGAGCCUCGAAAAGCGUUCUGCUCAUCGGAAUCCGUAUUUGAAAAUACCCCUUUUUCAUUCAAUGGAAUUGAACCCUAUAAGUAUGCUUUAUUGAAAGAAUUGUGCAAACUUCCGCAAAUUGUUUAGAAAAUUAUGGAAUGCCCCUAGAACCUCCGUAGGUGACUUUAUAAGCUUUAAAUACGUAAUUUGAGCCCAUCGCUUCGUUUGUCCCGAGGUGGGUCCACUAUUUCCGAUUUUACCCUUUUAGUGGUUAUGACUUGUCUUCGAGCGUUUUUUUUAAGAAAUGUUUUAACUACUCUUGUAACUACUAAAUAAAACUUGUUUUAAAUAUUCUAUUAAGUCUUGUAAACUGUUUUGGAACUUGGAAACGAACUUAGAAAGAUUAUGCUUCCGUAAUCCAUUAUGACAUUCGAAAUUCACUUAUUAUGAUUCCGUCCGAUUUUAUUGAUUUGAUUCGUCAUUUGAUAUGCCUCAUUAAGUCUCUGGAAAUAUAUAAGGUAUUUUAUUGCAUUUAGUUUCUCACUACUCCAUUCGUGGAUGCCUCAACGUUUCCCACACUCAGCCCGGGCCAGGAUAUGUUCUCAAGCGUCUUCCACUGCAUUGUUCGUCGUGCCUCGAUGUGAGGGGGCAGGUAUACAUGUACAUGGGUUGUGGAGUAUGCUGUGCCAUGUACACUAUUCUGAUAUGAUAUGAUAUGAUCUGAUAUGGCCAUCUGAUAUGAUAUGCUAUGUUACGGGGUUAUUCCUCUUUUCUGAUCCUUAUGUGUUGUGGCACCAGUGUCGGGGGGUGACCACGUUCUGUCUACCGAGUCCCCUGGAAGGGGCCGGAUAUGAUAUGGCAUAUGUUUCUGUACACACUCUUCAUGUUUUGAAAAUAUGCAUUUGAUACUCUGGACAUCUCACUCACAUUACUGUACGUUCUGUUCCGGUUAUGAUUUUGUUUCGUAAUGGGACUAGGUAUGACAUACGUUUCCUGUAAGUACUAUUUAUGCUUUAUGAUCAGCAUUUUGCUAAUCUGGAUAUUCCGUUCAUUUUCUGUAUCUCCUGUUCCGAUUAUGACUUUGUUUACUACGUUCCAUGCUUUACAUACUCAGUACAUAUUUCGUACUGACCCCCUUUCUUCGAGGGCUGCGUUUUCAUGCCGCGCAGGUACAGACUACAGAUUUGCUGACCCACCUGCCUAGGACACCUAUUCUGCUAUUCUGGAGCGCUCUUUUGUCCAGAGCCUAUACUCUGGUACAGUCUGCUGCUGUUGUAUAUAUGUAUGCUAUUCAGGGGUACGACGGGGCCCUGUCCCGUCUUAUGAUUCUGUUAUGUUCUGUAGAGGUCUGUAGACAUACAUGUGGGUUCUGUAUAUGUUUUGGGUUGCUAUGAUUUGUGAUAGCCUUAUCGGCUUCCAUGUGCUAUAUAUGUUCCUCUGUGACACUAGUAACGUCGACUGACUUUUAUAUUUAUAUAAUCUGCUAGUCUGCUGGUUUAGGUUAUUGGGUACGUUUGGGUGUCCAGCACGGACACUAGUCACGGCCUACGGGGUUGGGUCGUGACAAAAGUGGUAUCAGAGCGGUUUGUCCUCGGAAUGUCUACAGACCGUGUCUAGUAGAGUCUUGUUUAUCGGUGUGUUGUGCACCACAUCUAUAAACAGGAGGCUACAGGACAUCUAGGGUGUUACCUUUCUUUGAAUCUUAGAUCGUGCGAUAGAGCCCGCUGUAGGAAAUGAAUUCCUUUUUUUUCUAACCUCUGAUUUCAGCUGGAGAACGGUAUCGACGUAAGACAGCGACUGAUGAUAUUGGAAGCUACACAGUACACAGGUAAGUAAUGGUAUGAAAGAUGUAUGCUGGGUAAGGUGUUUGAAAUACGAUUGAAACACGAAGCUGAAGAUUGAAAAGAAAAAAAAUAAACAGGAAAGUGUAGUAGGUGCAGUUUGAGUUGGGCAUGUGAGGUAAGCCUUGGCAUCUUUAUACUUUUAUUUGAAAUUGUUAGCCUCGUGUGGCUAUGAUGCGAUAUGAUAUGAUACGUAUAUACGUAUAUGUGUUGGCCCUGUGAGGCAUGGUUGGUAUUUCCUGUGUACAGGUUUUGGGAUAGUAAGAAAUACAGAGGAACCUCUGCCCAAAUUUUUCUAGGAAUAUAAACAGGAAAAUGAGAUAUAAAUUCUUAACAUAUCUUGAGGGUCGAUACCGAUAGGGCAAACCCAUUAUGUUGGAUUAAAGUUUAAGAGAUACCCUCCAUAGCAUUCGUAAGAAGCAUUAUCUUUGUUUGGAAAAUUUUAUCUCGAGAAAGCAUAUACGAGUAGCAAAUUCGCAAUUUAUUCAAAUGGACCAGAAAUAUGUUCCAACCCCAUUUUGCUUUAGCACAGCCCAUGUGAAGGGCAAAAAUAUGUGGAAGGGCAAAAAUGUCCAACGAUUAAGUUUCCUCUAAUUGGAAGGAUACAAAGUGUAUGACAGGCAGUUGGGAAUUGAGUGGUUCGCUCACGACUCAAAAAUAUAUAUAUAUAUAUAUAUAUAUAUAUAUAUAUAUAUAUAUAUAUAUAUAUAAAUAUGGAGGUAAUUAUGUGAAUUAAGUACUAAAAGAUUCUGCGAAGUUCGUCGGACUCUAGUUUUCUUUUGCUGGUGGUCGGAAGAUGCCUUACAGAAACAUUCCAUCAGUUUUCAUCGACAGAUUGGAGAUGGAAUUUGUGGAAUAAAAACUUAAACUCGUGGGCGGUCUAGAAUUUUAUAUAUAUAUACAUGAAGGUAAAUAUUGAGGAUUUACAGGGGGCGACAUGGUAACUAUAUAGUCAGAAAAGUAAAAGAAUCCCCUCUAAGUCGGGGUGGGACCCGCUACGAGGGUGUUUUGAAAGUUGUUAAGACCCCGAUUUGCCUUAAAUUACGUGACAAAGGACGUGCGGGGCAGUUGGUGUAAUUAUACCGGCCCUAACGUGCCUAAAUGCAUUAAAGUUGUAAGGUUAAGCGUGCUAGGGCCAGAGCAAUUCUGGGAUGGGUGACCCCCUGGGAAGUAAACUAAAAUUUUCACAAGUAUAGGAAUAAGGAACGAAUGGGAAAUUUGAGGUAACUUAAAGGAAAUUAGGAUAUGCGGAGUUAUUAGAAACCCUCAAGAAGUCGGGUAGACUAAGACAAGAUAAGCUGGUGAGGAAGAAGAUAGCGCAAUGCAGCUUGGGAAUGAGAGUAAGUUUGAAUAAGCAUUUGGAAAUUGUUUUGUAAGCAAAAUGGUAGUAAAUGUGUAUGUGUGCAUAUGACACCCCAUUCAUGAUUGUACCGACCGACAUGUGGACCUCAGCAGCCAGUGUCGCGAGGUAUGAAAGAUAUUAACUGAACAGAAUUUGAGAGACAAAGCGAAAGACAUGGUACAGAUAUUACAAGUAAACUGACACUAGUUCCGUCGCCAGCUAAGGCCGGGACGUUCUAGCGCAACGAUGUUCGGAAAUAGAAAGAAAACGAAUACGUAAAAGGAGGAUAGUAAUAGUAACGUUUGGGAAAUUUUGAAGGAAAGAAAGAGACCUCUCCGACGUAUUAUAAUACCCCAUAAGGCUAGUUGAACAUUCGAGGACGAAUGUUCUAAAGGGGGGAGGAUGUUACAUCCCGUAUUUUUGAACGUCGGAUUAAUUGUAAGUUAAGGUGGGGCCCACACAUCAAGAUUUUUUUUUGGGACAUGUGACAAAUUAUAUGAAUCACAUAUGUGAAGUUAAACACAACUCAUGAAGUACCCUUGGUCCAAAUCAAAGUGGAAGCCCUCCAAACGAAUAUUUUUAUGAAAACGUUUUCGGAUGACCUGACUUGGAGGGGCAAAAACGGUAUUAUAAGUUUGGAAUUUGGAAAUAUACCAAGAAAUAGAAGUUGUAGAUAAUUGAAUUAGCUUUCCAUCCAUAGGUCGUGGGUUCCAAGGUGACGUUGGUACAAGGAGAUAUGAACGUUUUAAGGUCGAAAGGUCAGUGGGCUAGGCCCAACUCGGGACCAACCGAAUUGGCCCAAAAAAAUGAAAAGAAAAAUUCAGGCCCAAGUGAGGAGGUGGCCGGCCAUGGUCCUUAAUAAAGGACCCAAGCCCAUUUAAAUUAGUCAUGUGAUUAAUAAUAAAAAGGGGCUAAGUCUUCAUUUUCAACCAAGCACAUUCAUGAAGCAAAGAAGAGAAAAACAAACACAAAGAAGAGCAAAAAUAAGGCCAUUUCGGGUUUGGCCAUAGAAAAAUCACCCCUCAAAAUCUUGCCUCUAAAAUUAUUUUCUUGUUGAAUUCCUACUAAAUUAAGUGUCCUCUACAACUUGGUGUAGUUGUUUUGGAAGAAGGAGCACUUAUUUCUUCAAGUUGACAACUUGUUCAAGUGAAGAAGUUUGUAGAAAAAGGUAAGAAUCAAUUCCUUUUUCUUAUGUUAUGAAGGUUUGUUUAUGUUGUGGUAUGUGGAAAUGAGUAGAAAUUAUGAAAAUAUGGAAGUUUGCAAAGUGGGUAUGUAUAUAUGUAUGUAGCCGUGUGUGUAUAUUGUUGUAUAUAUGAUAUGAGUUGAAUUUUAUGUUGUAUUCUAGUUGUGGUUAUGGUGAAAAUUAUAUUGGAAAUGAAAGUUGAAUGAAUUUUGGUUGAAGUUGGAAUGUAGAAGAUUAUGUCACCUUAGAAUAAUUUUGAGAUAUUAUGGAAAUGAAGUUGUUAAGAUGUAAAUUAUGAUAAUGGUUGAUGAAAUUGGAAGGUGGAAAUAUGUUAUGAAUAUGUAGGUUGAAGAUUUGAAGUUUUGGGUGAAUUAUGUUUUGGUGGAAAGUUUGUAUAUUUUGUAUAUCUUGUGAAUAUUUCGUAGGAAUGAUAUGAAAUAUUUCCAAAUUAUAUUGUGAUGAUCUAGAUUAAUGAUGAAUGUGAAACCAUUGAGAUUAGUUUGGAAAUUGAAGUUGAAAUGAAGGUUAUGACAUUAUGUUGGAAAGAUAGCUAGUUAAGUUAUAUUGUGUUUAUGGUGACUAUUGUUGUUGUUGAUGUUGUUGUUGGGUUGUUGUUGAUUGUUUUGGCCGAGUUAAAUUCUCGGGGAUGCUAUAUGUAUAGGGGAGAUGCUGCCCAAAUUUCUGUAGGCAAUUAUGAAUAAAGAUUGAAUACUUAAAGAUUGGAAAUUGAGAAUUGGUAAAUGUGACCAAUUACAGAUUUUGGGCGAAACGGGAAUUGAAUUUGGAAAGGCGUAAAGAGCAUACAAGGUAUGUAAAGCUAUCCCGAUUCUUCUUUUGGCAUGCCCUAGGUGUACUAGGAUCGGAUUUGAGCCUCGAAAAGCGUUCUGCUCAUCGGAAUCCGCAUUUGAAAAUACCCCUUUUUCAUUCAAUGGAAUUGAACCCUAUAAGUAUGCUUUAUUGAAAGAAUUGUGCAAACUUCCGCAAAUUGUUUAGAAAAUUAUGGAAUGCCCCUAGAACCUCCGUAGGUGACUUUAUAAGCUUUAAAUACGUAAUUUGAGCCCAUCGCUUCGUUUGUCCCGAGGUGGGUCCACUAUUUCCGAUUUUACCCUUUUAGUGGUUAUGACUUGUCUUCGAGCGUUUUUUUUAAGAAAUGUUUUAACUACUCUUGUAACUACUAAAUAAAACUUGUUUUAAAUAUUCUAUUAAGUCUUGUAAACUGUUUUGGAACUUGGAAACGAACUUAGAAAGAUUAUGCUUCCGUAAUCCAUUAUGACAUUCGAAAUUCACUUAUUAUGAUUCCGUCCGAUUUUAUUGAUUUGAUUCGUCAUUUGAUAUGCCUCAUUGAGUCUCUGGAAAUAUAUAAGGUAUUUUAUUGCAUUUAGUUUCUCACUACUCCAUUCGUGGAUGCCUCAACGUUUCCCACACUGAGCCCGGGCCAGGAUAUGUUCUCAAGCGUCUUCCACUGCAUUGUUCGCCGUGCCUCGAUGUGAGGGGGCAGGUAUACAUGUACAUGGGUUGUGGAGUAUGCUGUGCCAUGUACACUAUUCUGAUAUGAUAUGAUAUGAUCUGAUAUGGCCAUCUGAUAUGAUAUGCUAUGUUACGGGGUUAUUCCCCUUUUCUGAUCCUUAUGUGUUGUGGCACCAGUGUCGGGGGGUGACCACGUUCUGUCUACCGAGUCCCCUGGAAGGGGCCGGAUAUGAUAUGGCAUAUGUUUCUGUACACACUCUUCAUGUUUUGAAAAUAUGCAUUUGAUACUCUGGACAUCUCACUCACAUUUCUGUACGUUCUGUUCCGGUUAUGAUUUUGUUUCGUAAUGGGACUAGGUAUGACAUACGUUUCCUGUAAGUACUAUUUAUGCUUUAUGAUCAGCAUUUUGCUAAUCUGGAUAUUCCGUUCAUUUUCUGUAUCUCCUGUUCCGAUUAUGACUUUGUUUACUACGUUCCAUGCUUUACAUACUCAGUACAUAUUUCGUACUGACCCCCUUUCUUCGAGGGCUGUGUUUUCAUGCCGCGCAGGUACAGACUACAGAUUUGCUGACCCACCUGCCUAGGACACCUAUUCUGCUAUUCUGGAGCGCUCUUUUGUCCAGAGCCUAUACUCUGGUACAGUCUGCUGCUGUUGUAUAUAUGUACGCUAUUCAGGGGUACGACGGGGCCCUGUCCCGUCUUAUGAUUCUGUUAUGUUCUGUAGAGGUCUGUAGACAUACGUGUGGGUUCUGUAUAUGUUUUGGGUUGCUAUGAUUUGUGAUAGCCUUAUCGGCUUCCAUGUGCUAUAUAUGUUCCUCUGUGACACUAGUAACGUCGACUGACUUUUAUAUUUAUAUAAUCUGCUAGUCUACUGGUUUA